rnacentral:rRNA from 1 species
GAUGAACGCUGGCGGCGUGCCUAAUACAUGCAAGUCGAGCGAACGGACGAGAAGCUUGCUUCUCUGAUGUUAGCGGCGGACGGGUGAGUAACACGUGGAUAACCUACCCAUAAGACUGGGAUAACUUCGGGAAACCGGAGCUAAUACCGGAUAAUAUUUUGAACCGCAUGGUUCAAAAGUGAAAGACGGUCUUACUGUCACUUAUGGAUGGAUCCGCGCUGCAUUAGCUAGUUGGUAAGGUAACGGCUUACCAAGGCAACGAUGCAUAGCCGACCUGAGAGGGUGAUCGGCCACACUGGAACUGAGACACGGUCCAGACUCCUACGGGAGGCAGCAGUAGGGAAUCUUCCGCAAUGGGCGAAAGCCUGACGGAGCAACGCCGCGUGAGUGAUGAAGGUCUUCGGAUCGUAAAACUCUGUUAUUAGGGAAGAACAUAUGUGUAAGUAACUGUGCACAUCUUGACGGUACCUAAUCAGAAAGCCACGGCUAACUACGUGCCAGCAGCCGCGGUAAUACGUAGGUGGCAAGCGUUAUCCGGAAUUAUUGGGCGUAAAGCGCGCGUAGGCGGUUUUUUAAGUCUGAUGUGAAAGCCCACGGCUCAACCGUGGAGGGUCAUUGGAAACUGGAAAACUUGAGCGCAGAAGAGGAAAGUGGAAUUCCAUGUGUAGCGGUGAAAUGCGCAGAGAUAUGGAGGAACACCAGUGGCGAAGGCGACUUUCUGGUCUGUAACUGACGCUGAUGUGCGAAAGCGUGGGGAUCAAACAGG